rnacentral:rRNA from 1 species
AAAUUAAAUGGCUGCGGUAACUAUGACUGUAUGAAUGUAGCAUAAUAAUUCGCCACUUAAUUAGUGGAUAGCAUGAAUGGUCUAACGAAAAUUCCUCUGUCUUAUAAAAUAAACAAAAAAUUUAAAUCAUAGUUAAGAUCCUAUGUAAAUUGUAAGACGAAAAGACCCUAUAAAGCUUAACUAUAAACUCUUAUAUAUAAUUAGAAAAUAAUUAAAUUAAAAAGAAUUUGGUAGUUUCAUUGGGGCGAUGAUCUCUAAAAAAAAACAGAGAUACACUAAAUUAAUAAAUAUUAAUUUACUGUUUAAUUUAUAAAUUUAACAGUUAUAAAAUAGGGUAUAAUAACCCAUUAUUUUCUUAAAAAAAAAAUAAUGAUUUUAAAUAAAAGCUACUUUAGGGAUAACAGGAUAAUAUUUUCUUAGAGUUCUUAUCGAAGAAAAAGCUUAUCACCUCGAUGUUGAAUUAAGAUAACCUAAUGAUGCAGC